CCAGAAGAAGAAGACUUAGCUGAGUUACAGCAGUCAACUCCGUUCUGUUUUAGCAAAUAGAAGUUUGUGUUACACAAGUUAAUUCGCCUGUUCAGUCUCUAUACUGUGAUUAAGAGACCACUGAGAGCAGAAGAGGAGACUAACGCUGGACGCUCGUCGACUGGGAUUCUUCACAAAGAACCACCACAUAGCUACCCACGAGGUAGCUGCUAGCUUCAAAUGGCUGGGCCUUUGUGCCGUGAUAUCGACGCUGUGAAUAUCAAAAGAAGCAACCACGCCGGCUGCCGUAAGAGUUGUUGAAUCAGUGAAUCCUCCAUCUGAUCAGUGGGUUGUGUGUGUGCCUGCAGUUGAUUCAUAUCAGCCUGAUUAUCCUGAGAAGAAGCAGAAUGACAUCAUUCACAGUAUCGAACAGCUGAAUGACAAAGUUGAUGCACUACAUCCUUGGACCAUCCCUGAAAGUGUUGGUUCCUAGACAUACCAGGAGAGAACAGUGUGAACGCUGCAAACACGAUUAUCCGGUUGGCCAACUCUAAACCAGAAGUGUGUGCUUGAGCAAAUUACAAGCAGUGCCUGGAAGUAAUGGGGCUUCCAGUAAAGUCACUCAAAGAACUCAAGAGUGUUAAUGACAGACUUGAUAGCGAGGACAAGUGAACCAGGCACC